CAUUACUGAUAUUAGUCGCCGCAACUUCAAACAAAUUGUUACUUUGCUCAACUUCAAACCAAACUCAAAAACCUAAAAAUCAAUUGGUCUUCGCCGCAACCUCGCCAUAGCCGUAGCCCGUUCCUCGGAGUCCCAUCACCGCAUCUUCGCCGGUGUUCCGUUGCCGAAACCUCGCCGGAGCACGAUUUCGUGAACCCUAGCGCCAUCGUCUUCUUCAUCUUCACACUUCAACUCAGGAUCUCAGCAAACCUUACCUUUUAUACGGCUAAAUCUACGAUUUCAGUUCACUUCGCUUGAUGCGGAAGCACGACUCAAGGAUAAGAAAGCAAGAGAUUUUACGGCUUAGAGAAGAUUGAAAGGAAGCUCAAGGUUGGAAUGUAGGCUUGUACAUUAAAGUAAUUGCCGCCGUUAAGUAUUUUCCGUAACAGCUUUUGAAAAUUGUUUAACUUUGGUAGGUGUUUCAAUCAUCGGUGAAAAUGUUUUCUACUUUCGUAGGUGAGAGACCUUUCUUAUUGUGAGACCUAGAAUAAUUCAUUUCGGAGGAAAUUAAUAUUUUUUGUUUUCUAUAUGUUUUCCAAUUAAUGUUAGUGAAACAUAAUUUAGUUGAUUGAUUAGAAUUUUAUGUGAUUAAUUAUUAUCGCUGACAGAAACUAAACUACAGAAUGACUUUAAGAAAGUCUUAGGCAACUCUACAUUACUUGGAUAAGGAAGGAUUUGAUGAAGUUACGAGGAGGAGCCAGCAGAGCCUGAAAUCGAGGAAGGAGCAGAGGACAUCGAAAUACAUGACUAAGUAUGAGCGAGCUAGGAUUCUCGGUACCCGCGCUCUUCAAAUCAGGUUUACUUUUGUUCCCUAGGGUUUUGUAUUGAAUAUUUGUAGUGCUAUGUUUAAAAUUAAGGAAUGUGAAGCAGAAUCAAAGGAUUCUGAUUUUUAGAUGAAAUUAGAAUAAGAAAUUUUGAUAGAUGAUGCUAAAUAAGUACUGGAAAACGGAAAUAGUGGAUAAUACUUGAGUUUAAGGAGUUCCAAAAGGAUAUCAGGACCAGCUUGUGUUAGCUAAGCUUUCGUGUUCCACAUUUGUGCUGGAUUAGACUCUGAAGUUUGAUUCUUUGGUCAAGCUUCAUAUGUGGAUUUGCUGAUAUUUCGGGCAGAGUCCCACUGGUUCAGUCAACCUCAAAGGAACCAAGAAAUAGAAUAGAUGCUGGUUUUGCUAUGUUUGUCUUCACUUAUAGUAAACCGGAGUGAUACUGUGAUAGUGACUAUUAUGUACCCGGUAUUCUUUUUACAGUUUCUCAGUGCUCUUUCAAUGGAUGUUGCAGAAAUUGACUAGCUUUAUUGACAACAGAAUAGAUUUCAGGUCUUGUAAGGGUUACAUACUGCAAUGACUCCAGUAAGAUGAAUAACAUGAAGAAAGGGCAUAAGCAUACAACAGUAAGAUGAAUAACAUGAAGAAAGGGCAUAAGCAUACAACAACAUCUCCACUUGACAAAAUUGUGUUUGAUAAGCUAGCUUUGCUGUUGCAUCAAGAAUUGAAUAGUUCACCUCGUGUACCCCGGGCACGCCAAACAGGUAGCUUGCCACAACUAACUUCUACUAGUGCUACAAACAUGCUAAUGAAGCGAGCAUCGGUUGGAGGAAAGGUAGUAUUUGGUAUGUAAAAGAAAAUACAAGGAUGCAACUAGAGAUGGGGUUUGCAGUUCUCGUGAACCAAAAGAUGAAACUAAAAGGAUAGAGAAGGAGAAGGAGAAGGUUCAAUCAUCAUCUGAUCAAAGAAAUCAAGACAUGGCAUAUGUGGAAAAUGCUUCUGUAAAGGAAGAAGGAAGUCGUGCAUGCGUGACAGCUGCAAACUCUAUUACAAGCAAUGUUGUUUCCAGAACCCCUGCCCUUGAAAACAGCAGCCCACCUUCCCCUCGCGAGGAUUGUAAUUUGUCGUCAAAGAGGAACUCACCCAGGAAUAUAUCUGAUGAUGAUACACCAACAGCUGGAAGGCCAGAUCAUCACACCUUACCUGGCUUAAUCAAUGAUAUAAUGAGCAAGGGCAGGCGCAUGACAUAUGAGGAACUUUGUGGUGCUGUGCUACCGGUAUGGUUCUUUAUCAGUGUUGUUUUAGGGGUUCCUACUAUUGUUUUUUGGGUCUUGCUAACCAGUGCCCUCAGGGCAAUGGUUAAGCAUUCCAAAAAAAGAAAAUAUUUUAUAGAACCGGAGAACUUGAGGAAACAUAACGGGGAGCGAUAGAACUGGAGAACUUUGUAGCAGAUUUUAUAGUAACUUGUUCUAUAAAUUUGUAUUAUAAUUCAAAAUAUUUUAAAUUAUAAUUUUAUUUUUAUAUUAUGGUUACAUAGUCACAUUAUAAAAAUAUUUU